GAUGAACGCUAGCGGCAGGCCUAACACAUGCAAGUCGAGGGGUAGCAGGAUUAAGCUUGCUUAAUUGCUGACGACCGGCGCACGGGUGCGUAACGCGUAUGCAACCUACCUUAUACUGGGGUAUAGCCCGGAGAAAUUCGGAUUAAUCCCCCAUAGUACUAAUUAAUCGCAUGGUUUAUUAGUUAAAGCAUUGCGGUAUAAGAUGGGCAUGCGUCCUAUUAGCUAGAAGGUGAGGUAACGGCUCACCAUGGCUACGAUAGGGAGGGGGCCUGAGAGGGUGGUCCCCCACACUGGUACUGAGACACGGACCAGACUCCUACGGGAGGCAGCAGUGAGGAAUAUUGGUCAAUGGGCGCAAGCCUGAACCAGCCAUGCCGCGUGCAGGAAGAAUGCCCUAUGGGUUGUAAACUGCUUUUAUUUGGGAAUAAACCUCUUUACGUGUAGAGAGCUGAAGGUACCAAAUGAAUAAGCACCGGCUAACUCCGUGCCAGCCGCCGCCGUAA
rnacentral:rRNA from 1 species